AUAAUACUCCCUCCGUCCCAAAAUUCUUGUCUUAGAUUAGUCUAGAUACGAAUGUAUCUAAUACUAAAACGUGACUUGAUACAUCUGUAUUUAGACAAAUCUAAGACAAGAAUUUUGGGACAGAGGGAGUACUUA
rnacentral:pre_miRNA from 1 species